AUGAUGGACCCAAGCCCAAGAUACAACACAAAUGCAUCUACUUCAAAUCUUAGCAGAAAAUGUGUGCUUUGCAGUAGAACACUAGAGCCUAGAACACGUUCACAUCAGCUCAUGUCCCUGAGAACUAACACUCAACAUCAUAUUAACAUCAGGAACAUAAUUGUGGAACGACUAACUCCAUUAGAGGUUACUGCAAAUGACUACAUCUGUGGGGCUUGUCACUCAUUAUUGCAAAGAGAUACCACACCUACUUCACAAGACUCUCCAGAUAUGCCAACCGGUGCCCCGGUAGGUCACCAACAAGUUUGUGUUGGAUGUGGUUGUUCAUUAUUGCGAACUUGAAGUCAUUGUUUGGAUACAGAGAAUAAUCAAGAUAUAUUAAACAUUGUUCGAAAUUGGAUUCAACCCAGAGAGAUUCGUCCUUCAGAUCUUCUUUGCCAUAGAUACUAUCAGAGAGCACGAAUUACUACAGUUGGUGCUUAUUUAAUGAAGCUGAGGACCGGUGAUUCAGAUGACAGAAUAGCUACAUUACUUGGCAUUUCAAGGAGUACUCUUACAAAAUAUGUAAUGAAAGCACGCAGUAUGAUGGAGGAACAUUUCGUACCAGCACAUUUAGGGUUACAACAUAUUAGUAGAGAGGAAGUAGCCCAAAGAAACCUUUAUGUUCCAGUCUCUUUUCGGGAAGCCAGGAAACGAUUUACCACAAAGAAAGGCUAUUGUCAUCAUGGAUGGUACAUACAUACAUUUAUGUGCAAAAAAGUAGCAAUUAUGCAUACCAAAAAAAAAACUUAUUCCCUAUACAAAUAUCGGAAUCUCGUUAAACCAUUUAUGGUACUUUGUUGUGAUGGCGACAUCAUUGAUGUAUUGGGCCCAUAUUUAAUAGAAAAUGUAGAACAUGACCAUUAAUAAAUAAUAAGUACCUA